rnacentral:rRNA from 1 species
CGACCGGCUUCUCUGGAGCGGCGGACGGGUGAGUAUGCCUAGGAUCUGCCUGGUAGUGGGGGAUAACGUCCGGAAACGGACGCUAAUACCGCAUACGUCCUACGGGAGAAAGCAGGGGACCUUCGGGCCUUGCGCUAUCAGAUGAGCCUAGGUCGGAUUAGCUAGUUGGUGGGGUAAUGGCUCACCAAGGCGACGAUCCGUAACUGGUCUGAGAGGAUGAUCAGUCACACUGGAACUGAGACACGGUCCAGACUCCUACGGGAGGCAGCAGUGGGGAAUAUUGGACAAUGGGCGAAAGCCUGAUCCAGCCAUGCCGCGUGUGUGAAGAAGGUCUUCGGAUUGUAAAGCACUUUAAGUUGGGAGGAAGGGCAGUAAAUUAAUACUUUGCUGUUUUGACGUUACCGACAGAAUAAGCACCGGCUAACUCUGUGCCAGCAGCCGCGGUAAUACAGAGGGUGCAAGCGUUAAUCGGAAUUACUGGGCGUAAAGCGCGCGUAGGUGGUUCGUUAAGUUGGAUGUGAAAUCCCCGGGCUCAACCUGGGAACUGCAUUCAAAACUGACGAGCUAGAGUAUGGUAGAGGGUGGUGGAAUUUCCUGUGUAGCGGUGAAAUGCGUAGAUAUAGGAAGGAACACCAGUGGCGAAGGCGACCACCUGGACUGAUACUGACACUGAGGUGCGAAAGCGUGGGGAGCAAACAGGAUUAGAUACCCUGGUAGUCCACGCCGUAAACGAUGUCAACUAGCCGUUGGGAGCCCUUGAGCUCUUAGUGGCGCAGCUAACGCAUUUAAGGUUGGACCGGCCUGGGGGAGUACGGCCGCAAGGGUUUAAAAACUCAAAUGAAUUGACCGGGGGCCCGCCACAGCCGGGUGGGAGCAUGUGGAUUUAAAUCGAGCCACGCGAAGAACCUUACCAGCCUGACAUCGAAUGGAACCUUUUCCUU